rnacentral:rRNA from 1 species
GUGUCAGCCGCCGCGGUAACACGUAGGGGGCGAGCGUUGUCCGGAAUUACUGGGCGUAAAGCGCACGCAGGCGGAUGCGCGCGUCGGCUGUGAAAUGCACCGGCUCAACCGGUGCACUGCGGUCGAUACGGCGCAUCUGGAGUGCGGGAGAGGGAAGCGGAAUUCCCGGUGUAGCGGUGAAAUGCGUAGAUAUCGGGAGGAACGCCGGUGGCGAAGGCGGCUUCCUGGCCCGCAACUGACGCUCAUGUGCGAAAGCCAGGGGAGCGAACCGGAUUAGAUACCCGGGUAGUCCUGGCCGUAAACGAUGGACGCUAGGUGUGGGCGGUUUAUCCGUCUGUGCCGAAGUUAACGCGUUAAGCGUCCCGCCUGGGGAGUACGAUCGCAAGGUUGAAACUCAAAUAAAUUGACGG